GGACAAUGAUGAUUCUAUGUUUGAUAUUACAGACCAGUUACUAGCUGAAGACAAUCGCAUACUGCCUGAGUCU
rfam:Arabidopsis thaliana chromosome 5, complete sequence.